GGCAUUUGUAUUUGGCCAUCUUGGCUGAUGUGGCAACUUGGUUUAGGAGGGAAAUCACACAAAUUCACAAUGGACACGGGAUCCAGAAAGCAUCGGGUCGGACUUUUGGAUUUGGAUCAAUCAUGAUGGAUCCUUUAUAUAUGUCUUUUUUUCUAAUUCUUCUUCCAUACUCUUCAACAAUCUUCACAACCCUAAAACCAAACCCUAGAUCAACUCAACCUUUCUGGACGUCACAGCGAUUUCUCAUCUCUCUAAUCAGAUCUUCUUCCGCUAUUGAAGAUCUUAUCAAAGAAAUUAAAGAUCUGAUUUCGGACUCCGAUAAUUCGUCAAUCAAAAGAGGUUAGUUAAGUGUUAUAGUUAUUUUAUCUUUUUUAAGUAUGUAAUAUGUAAUUUUAUCCUUUAUGUUCAUUAUUUUUUUACCUAUUAAUAUAUGUUCUGAAUGAUUUAUGGUUUGUAUUUUCUCAUGGUGAACCCUCAAUCUUUUUUGAAAUUCGGACUCGGAUUGUUAGUCUACCAAAAUAAGUUAUGUUGUUCUGAAUUUUGUAGAUCCGAUCAUAAAAUUGAAGGUAUGUUGUUUUAGUUUGUUGUUUAUCUACCGUGCAUCUUUAAUCUAAGCGAUUGAACAUUUAUAUUUUUUUUGCAAACAAUAUCAAGAUCAGAGGUUUUGUUAUCAUCAUCUACAUUCUCUGAUUUAUGUAGUGUCUAUGAACGUUAAUCAUGUCUUGGACAUUUAUCAAACUUACUGAUUUUUGUUUAUUUUGAUUUUCAUGUGAAUCCCUAAAUCUUGGAUAACAAUCGGACUCCGAUCAUUCAACAAGCAACAGAGUUCGUCGACCAAAACAGGAAAUACCGUAUGAUGAGCCAGCUUAUUGUGGGAAGGAAAAGUUCCAUAUGCUCAAUGUAUUGAACUUAUUGAUGAUGACUUAUGCAACUGCAGGAGUCUGAAUCUUCUUCGAACACAAGAGUUAUGGAUCCUAAAAACAACGCUCCAAUCGUUUUUAAAGUUGAUUGAUGACUAUCAUCCUAUAUUUUUGGAAAUACCGUAUAAUGAGCGACCUUAUUGUGGGAAAGAAAAGUUCCAUAUGGCCAAUGUCUUGAAAUUAUUGAUGAUGACUUAUGCAACUGCAGGAGUCUGAAUCUUCUUCGAACACAAGAC